rnacentral:rRNA from 1 species
GACGAACGCUGGCGGCGCGCUUAACACAUGCAAGUCGAACGGAAAGGCCUGCUUUCCCUUGUGGAUUGCGGGUACUCGAGUGGCGAACGGGUGAGUAACACGUGAGUGAUCUGCCCCCAACUUGGGUAUAAGCCUGGGAAACUGGGUCUAAUUCCCGAUAGGACUGCAGGGUGGUGCCUGUGGUGGAAAACGAUUUUCUAGUGGUUGGGGAUGAGCUCGCGGCCUAUCAGCUUGUUGGUGGGGUAAUGGCCUACCAAGGCGGCGACGGGUAGCCGGCCUGAGAGGGUGGACGGCCACAUUGGGACUGGGAUACGGCCCAGACUCCUACGGGAGGCAGCAGUGGGGAAUAUGGCACAAUGGGCGGAAGCCUGAUGCAGCGACGCCGCGUGGGGGAUGACGGCCUUCGGGUUGUAAACUCCUUUCGACCGCGAGGAAGCCACCUGGUUGGAAGGGUGGCGACGGUAGUGGUAGAAGAAGCACCGGCUAACUACGUG